rnacentral:miRNA from 1 species
ACAGUGGCUUUAGAGACCGGAG